rnacentral:rRNA from 1 species
UCGAGAGUUUGAUCCUGGCUCAGGAUGAACGCUAGCGGCAGGCCUAAUACAUGCAAGUCGAGGGGUAGAGGUUGCUUGCAACCUUGAGACCGGCGCACGGGUGCGUAACGCGUAUGCAACCUACCUUCAUCUGGGGAUAGCCCGGAGAAAUCCGGAUUAAUACCGCAUAAAAUCACAGUACGGCAUCGUACAAUGAUCAAACAUUUAUGGGAUGGAGAUGGGCAUGCGUGUCAUUAGUUAGUUGGCGGGGUAACGGCCACCAAGACCGCGAUGACUAGGGGAUCUGAGAGGAUCGACCCCCCGACACUGGGUACUGAGACACGGACCAGACUCCGUACGGGAGCAGCAGUAAGGAUAUUGGUCAAUGGGGGCAACCCUGAACCCAGCCCAUG